rnacentral:rRNA from 1 species
AUUGAACGCUGACGGCAGGCCUAACACAUGCAAGUCGAGCGAGCGGCGGACGGGUGAGUAAUGUAUGGGGACUGCCCGAAAGAGGGGGAUAACUACUGGAAACGGUGGCUAAUACCGCAUAAUAUCGGAUAACCCAGAUGGGAUUAGCUAGUAGGUGGGGUAAAGGCUCACCUAGUCGACGAUCUCUAGCUGGUCUGAGCGGAUGAUCAGCCACACUGUGACUGAGACACGUCCCAGACUCCUACGGAUGCAGCAGUGGGGAAUAUUGCACAAGGGGCGCAAGCUGGAUGCAGCCAUGCCGCGUGUAUGAAGAAGGCCUUAGGGUUGUAAAGUACUUUCAGCGGGGAGGCGUUACCCGCAGAAUAAGCACCGGCUAACUCCGUGCCAGCAGCCGCGGUAAUUC